UGCGGACCUUGCACGUUGAGUGUGAAGUAUUAAAGCAGUUAGGAAGUUUAAACACAAACCAGGGCCUCUGGAUAAUGUAGAGCAAUGCUACACACUUUUGCAUUGGUAUCUGCACUGCACAUAAUAUGAACAAUUACCAUUCCUUGGAAGCCCAAUAACUUAUUUGAAAGUGGAUGGGUACAAGUGGAUGGGUACAAGUGAUUUAUCAUCACAAACCUGGGGCGUCCGACUGCACCCUCAUGAAGGCUCAAGUCAAACCAUUGUGGAGGGUGACGGAGGAAUCACAUCAGACAUGGGUGGCUGUACACAGAGUCCUGGAGGUCAAGUGUCCUGUCGGCACAAGACAACAGCACUCUGGACGACUGGCUACAGAACAAGAGAGGGCAUCUGGCAAAUGCAACUUCUUUGAGGAAGAACCACUUCUCCAACACUCAGGCGCAGAUGUUUGUAAAACAAGAACUGAUUUCAUCACGUGGACCCCCAAACAAUGUAUAAUCGUCCGUGUCCUGUGAGCUGAUGACUUCCUCACCAAGGCUCUGAACACAAUGAACUGAUUCUGGGCCAAGUAUAUCUACACCAAGAUGGUUGGCACAGCCCAUAGACAAGGAGACAGACUCCAGUCUACAGACAGUCCAGGGUGGAAUACAGUGCAGAGAGGAAGAAGGAGAAGCUGGUACAUGAAGAAAAGUUAGGAAUACAGUAGUUCAGUCGAAGGACUCAACCCAUGUAAUCGGUCUGGUGAAAAAUGUAUAUAAAUUAACUGUAUUUAGAUAGAAGUACAUACACAUAAUACACAAUAGUAAGUAAUUUAAGUUAAAAAGUAUACAAUAUAAAGUGCGUGGGUGCAAAUAGCUAAUGCAGUUGAUGAGGAGUUGUCAGAGAUAUAUGUCGACUGUACAAGACAUUAAGAAAACGUGCCAUGACAUACACUGACCAGGUGAAUGCAGGUGAAAGCUAUGCUAUCUUAUUAAUGUCACUUGUUAAAUCCAAUUAAAUCAGUGUAGAUGAAGAGAGGAGACAGGUUAAGUGCCAAUGAAGGGGGUAUGGUAGUAGGUGCCAAGUGCACCCUCGGCAGUUUCCUGUGUGUACCAAGAAUGGUCCACCACCCAAAGGGCAUCUUAGCCAACUUGUCACAACUGUGGAAAGCAUUGGAGUCAACACAUACCAAUAUGAAUCCACCUCUUUAAGUCAGCCAAGAUCUGAAAUCACAACAAAAAACAAACAGCCAAGAUCAGAAAUGUUUAAAAAUAUUACCAGGACGAUAUACAGUCUGGGUGCCAUCUCUUUGUGCUGUUUUGCAAACUCCUCUCAUCAAAGAAACAAUAGUUGUCGGAACAGCUUAAGAGUCCAGGCACCCAGGCAUAGCCUACAUAAUACAUACCUGACCGCCAGGAUGAUGAUAUUGUGGAGAGAUAAAGUCACAUCAGAAGUACGACCACCACAGCCUUUCGACAGGUACAGUAUGUGAUACUGCCAGCAGGAAUACAAGCUAGAGGUCGACCGAUUAAUCGGAAUGGCCGAUUAAUUAGGGCCGAUUUCAAGUUUUCAUAACAAUCGGAAAUUGGUAAUUUUGGACGCCGAUUUAAAAAAAUGUUUUGUUACACCU